rnacentral:rRNA from 2 species
UAGGGAAUCUUCGGCAAUGGACGAAAGUCUGACCGAGCAACGCCGCGUGAGUGAAGAAGGUUUUCGGAUCGUAAAACUCUGUUGUUAGAGAAGAACAAGUACGUUAGUAACUGAACGUCCCCUGACGGUAUCUAACCAGAAAGCCACGGCUAACUACGUGCCAGCAGCCGCGGUAAUACGUAGGUGGCAAGCGUUGUCCGGAUUUAUUGGGCGUAAAGCGAGCGCAGGCGGUUUCUUAAGUCUGAUGUGAAAGCCCCCGGCUCAACCGGGGAGGGUCAUUGGAAACUGGGAGACUUGAGUGCAGAAGAGGAGAGUGGAAUUCCAUGUGUAGCGGUGAAAUGCGUAGAUAUAUGGAGGAACACCAGUGGCGAAGGCGGCUCUCUGGUCUGUAACUGACGCUGAGGCUCGAAAGCGUGGGGAGCAAACAGG